ACACGCAGUACACGGCAGCUGCGGGGGAGCAGGGUCAGCACGGCAUGUUAUUAAGUUCGUUCAAUUAUCUGGAGAUUCAACACGCUGUCAUCUCCCAAACGUAAUAUGACUGGCCUUCAACAAGAACACGUGACUGAUGUGAGCCACCGACAUUUCCAAACGCGGGAGGGCGAUCAGUGGGAAUUCUGCACACUAUCACGCAAGGCUUUCUGUUUUUUUGUUUUUUCUUUCGUGUGCAUUUCAGAUUCGUAAAUGUUGAGCACUGAUCUACCAAGCUUGGACUCUACAUUCAGUACUUCCGAGUGCACUGAAUCAUCUCCCCUGCUGGAGUAAGACCUGGUGCAGUGAUGCGGAUUCAGCAUUCUCCAAAUCAUCUCAAAUGGUCCCAUGCAUCUUUCAUUCGUGACCUGACAAGCCUACUUCCAAAUCUGACCACAUUCAGCGUUUGGAAUGGAACCGACCCAGUCCUCAAGUUCAGGCUGCGGCGUAAUUUUGACGGUCGUGACGUACCCCGU